rnacentral:rRNA from 1 species
UACGUAGGGUGCAAGCGUUAAUCGGAAUAACUGGGCGUAAAGGGUGCGCAGGCGGCCCAUCAAGUCAAGGGUGAAACCCCCGGGCUCAACCCGGGAAGUGCCCGUGAAACUGGUGAGCUGGAGUGUAUCAGAGGGGGGCAGAAUUCCGCGAGUAGCAGUGAAAUGCGUAGAGAUGCGGAGGAAUACCGAAGGCGAAGGCAGCCCCCUGGGAAGACACUGACGCUCAGGCACGAAAGCGUGGGGAGCAAACAGG